rnacentral:pre_miRNA from 1 species
UUGAUAUAAAUCAUUGUGGAUCUACACUUUAAAAAUUAGACCCACAUAAAGUAGUGAGACAUACAUUGAUUUUAUCAA